rnacentral:rRNA from 1 species
AUACGGAAGGUCCGGGCGUUAUCCGGAUUUAUUGGGUUUAAAGGGAGCGCAGGCGGAGAUGCAAGCGUGACGUCAAAUUUCGGGGCUCAACCCCGUCUCGCGUCGCGAACUGCGUCCCUUGGUUGCGGGAAGGGGAGGCGGAACUCGGGGUGUAGCGGGGAAAUGCAUAGAUAUCACGAAGAACUCCGAUCGCGAAGGCAGCCUUCCGGCCCGUCAACGACGCUCAUGCUCGAAGGUGCGGGUAUCAAACAGGAUUAGAUACCCUGGUAGUCCGCACAGUAAACGAUGGACACCCGCGGUUUGGCCUAUAUGGCUGAGCCGCCAAGCGAAAGCGUUAAGUGUCCCACCUGGGGAGUACGCCGGCAACGGUGAAACUCAAAGGAAUUGACGGGG